rnacentral:piRNA from 1 species
UGGCCUUGUGGAAUCCAAGGGAAGGGAGC